CUGGGUUGGGUGACUGUUGACUGAUUGUCUGUCCCAGUGAAUGACUGAUUUAAAAAAGGACCUUUAAAAGCGGACAGCAGUAGUUUUGUAUGUGUAAGUGUGGUCGGGAGCAUGGUUAGUAGCAGAGACUCGCCCUCCUUGAAGGAGACUUUGGCAGCUGUGGGUCAGAGUGCACGUAAGAGUUUUUCCAGGAAAAUUCGAAGGCUUUCUCCAAGAUGACCUCUGUGUUUUUCCUUUGGGACCUGGGACUAAAGGAAUUUUACAUUUGGGUUUUCUGUGGACAGACAGACAAUGAAAAACCUUUGAGUCUGUAGAGCGCGGGAGGCUUAGAUGCUGUCACUAAGAAUGUGCUUUUCUCUAGAUGCUGGAUGAGGAGGACACUGACAAAGACGGGAUGAGUUUGGAGGUCGACACUCCAGUGACGAACCAUCGGGGUGACGACGACGAUGACGAAGAAGAUCUCCCCGAGAUAGUGCUGGAUGACGUGCCUGCGGUGAGGGUGGCGGGACGGCCUCCAUUCGCUCCGCGGGUAAGUUGGGUUUUUAGUCUGAGCUCGCAGUGUUGCUCUAUUUCCCCUCCGUGGACAUUAAGUUAUGACAGCCUGAGCCUGCACGUUCCAGACCAUGUGGACGGUUCCGAGGGUUGGGACUCCAUGUCAGGCGCGUCUGUUGCCAACUCCCGAUGCCUGCUUCCGCAGGGCAAUGCGAUAACAACACCUGUCCCAGCCUGCAGAGGACAGAGCUCCUUCUCCAGAAGCAUCUUUUCCUCGAGGGAAAGAGUUCUGUCAUCUCCAACUGACAUGGCCUUGGACAUCCCGUCGUCUAGGACAAGUUCUUGCCUUUGUCCCCGAGGAGGGUUUGCUCUGCCUUUGCUGGGUUCUCUG
rnacentral:lncRNA from 1 species